GUGAGGAAUAUUGAGCAAUGGGCGCAAGCCUGACUCAGCAACGCCGCGUGGAUGAAGAAGGCCUUCGGGUUGUAAAAUUCUUUUCUGGGGGAAGAUAAUGACGGUACUCCAGGAAUAAGUUCCGGCUAACUACGUGCCAGCAGCCGCGGUAAAACGUAGGGGACAAGCGUUAUCCGGAUUUACUGGGCGUAAAGCGCAUGUAGGUGGCUUGACAAGUUGGACGUGAAAGCUCCCGGCUUAACUGGGAGAGGUCGUACAAAACUGUUGAGCUUGAGGUUGGAAGAGGAGAGCGGAAUUCCCGGUGUAGUGGUGGAAUGCGUAGAUAUCGGGAGGAACACCAGUGGCGAAAGCGGCUCUCUGGUUCAAAACUGACACUGAGAUGCGAAAGCGUGGGGAGCGAACGGGAUUAGAUACCCCGGUAGUCC
rnacentral:rRNA from 1 species